AUCGGGGCAGGGUGAGUCGACCCCUAAGGCGAGGCCGAAAGGCGUAGUCGAUGGGAAACAGGUUAAUAUUCCUGUACUUGGUGUUACUGCGAAGGGGGGACGGAGAAGGCUAUGUUGGCCGGGCGACGGUUGUCCCGGUUUAAGCGUGUAGGCUGGUUUUCCAGGCAAAUCCGGAAAAUCAAGGCUGAGGCGUGAUGACGAGGCACUACGGUGCUGAAGCAACAAAUGCCCUGCUUCCAGGAAAAGCCUCUAAGCAUCAGGUAACAUCAAAUCGUACCCCAAACCGACACAGGUGGUCAGGUAGAGAAUACCAAGGCGCUUGAGAGAACUCGGGUGAAGGAACUAGGCAAAAUGGUGCCGUAACUUCGGGAGAAGGCACGCUGAUAUGUAGGUGAAGCGACUUGCUC
rnacentral:rRNA from 1 species